rnacentral:misc_RNA from 1 species
GCAAACUUGGUCAUUUAGAGGAAGUAAAAGUCGUAACAAGGUUUCCGUAGGUGAACCUGCGGAAGGAUCAUCAUUGAGAGAGAAAAAAAGGUCUAUUUUAGUGGACCCCAAGCCAGGGAUUAAUUUUUCUGGCUUGCAAACAACAUAGAUACCCAACAAAAGGAAAGAUGUUUCUUUCAUUGGUUGAAAGAAAAAGGGGGGAGGAGGAGACUCUUCCUUCUUUAUCAAUCAAGAGGAAACAGUUUUUUCUAAAAAAAAACAAUUUUUGGUGGUUGCCUGAUAAUCAAGUGUUUGGAAAAGGAUGAAUAAAAAAACAACUUUCAACAACGGAUCUCUUGGCUCUCACAUCGAUGAAGAACGCAGC